GCUGGGCAUGGUGGCGCAUACCUGUAAUCCCAGCUACUCAAGAGGCUGAGGUGGGAGGAUCGCUUGAGCCUGGGAGGUGGAGGCUGCAGUGAGCAGAGAUCGUGCCACUGCACUCCAGCCUGGGCGACAGAGUGAGACUCCAUCUCAA
rnacentral:SRP_RNA from 1 species